CAAAAUUCAAGCUUUGCUUGGUGUUGGGUGCCGUCCUCCGGGGCGCACCUGAAAAUUAGCGGCGGUGUGACCGGUGAUCGAGCGUAGUAGUUACUUUCCGCUUCGAGACACUCCGGGCGUGCUAGCCGGACAACCUCCAAUUCUUCCACAG
rnacentral:misc_RNA from 1 species